AUGGCGGCGAACCUCGAGGACGUGCCGUCGGUGGAUCUCAUCACCGAGGUGCUCCGCCGCGCCAAGUGCAGCUCCAAGCCCGACAAGCGCAUCAUCCUCGUCGGUCCACCUGGCUCUGGAAAGGGUACGCAGUCGCCCCUUAUUAAGGAUGAAUACUGCUUGUGCCAUUUAGCCACUGGUGAUAUGCUGAGAGCUGCUGUUGCUGCUAAGACUCCUCUGGGGAUCAAGGCUAAAGAAGCUAUGAACAAGGGAGAGCUUGUUUCAGAUGACUUGGUUGUUGGGAUUAUCGAUGAAGCCAUGAAGAAACCCUCAUGCCAGAAGGGUUUUAUCCUUGAUGGCUUCCCUAGAACUGUUGUUCAAGCACAAAAGCUUGAUGACAUGCUGGCAAAGCAAGGCGCUAAAGUUGACAAGGUUUUGAACUUCGCAAUUGAUGAUGCAAUAUUGGAAGAACGAAUUACUGGCCGCUGGAUACACCCAUCGAGUGGCAGAUCUUACCAUACAAAGUUUGCUCCUCCGAAGACUCCUGGAGUUGAUGAUGUUACCGGAGAGCCCUUGAUUCAAAGGAAAGAUGACACAGCUGCGGUUUUAAAGUCAAGGCUUGAGGCUUUCCAUAUGCAAACCGAACCUGUGAUUGACUACUACUCCAAGAAUGGCUUGGUGGCAAAUCUUCAUGCGGAGAAACCACCAAAGGAAGUGACCGUUGAGGUGCAGAAAGCCCUUUCAUGA
rnacentral:rRNA from 1 species